CGAAUGCUGACAUAAGUAACGAUAAAGCGGGUGAAAAGCCCGCUCGCCGGAAGACCAAGGGUUCCUGUCCAACGUUAAUCGGGGCAGGGUGAGUCGACCCCUAAGGCGAGGCCGAAAGGCGUAGUCGAUGGGAAACAGGUUAAUAUUCCUGUACUUGGUGUUACUGCGAAGGGGGGACGGAGAAGGCUAUGUUGGCCGGGCGACGGUUGUCCCGGUUUAAGCGUGUAGGCUGGUUUUCCAGGCAAAUCCGGAAAAUCAAGGCUGAGGCGUGAUGACGAGGCACUACGGUGCUGAAGCAACAAAUGCCCUGCUUCCAGGAAAAGCCUCUAAGCAUCAGGUAACAUCAAAUCGUACCCCAAACCGACACAGGUGGUCAGGUAGAGAAUACCAAGGCGCUUGAGAGAACUCGGGUGAAGGAACUAGGCAAAAUGGUGCCGUAACUUCGGGAGAAGGCACGCUGAUAUGUAGGUGAAGUCCCUCGCGGAUGGAGCUGAAAUCAGUCGAAGAUACCAGCUGGCUGCAACUGUUUAUUAAAAACACAGCACUGUGCAAACACGAAAGUGGACGUAUACGGUGUGACGCCUGCCCGGUGCCGGAAGGUUAAUUGAUGGGGUCAGCGCAAGCGAAGCUCUUGAUCGAAGCCCCGGUAAACGGCGGCCGUAACUAUAACGGUCCUAAGGUAGCGAAAUUCCUUGUCGGGUAAGUUCCGACCUGCACGAAUGGCGUAAUGAUGGCCAGGCUGUCUCCACCCGAGACUCAGUGAAAUUGAACUCGCUGUGAAGAUGCAGUGUACCCGCGGCAAGACGGAAAGACCCCGUGAACCUUUACUAUAGCUUGACACUGAACAUUGAGCCUUGAUGUGUAGGAUAGGUGGGAGGCUUUGAAGUGUGGACGCCAGUCUGCAUGGAGCCGACCUUGAAAUACCACCCUUUAAUGUUUGAUGUUCUAACGUGGACCCGUGAUCCGGGUUGCGGACAGUGUCUGGUGGGUAGUUUGACUGGGGCGGUCUCCUCCUAAAGAGUAACGGAGGAGCACGAAGGUUGGCUAAUCCUGGUCGGACAUCAGGAGGUUAGUGCAAUGGCAUAAGCCAGCUUGACUGCGAGCGUGACGGCGCGAGCAGGUGCGAAAGCAGGUCAUAGUGAUCCGGUGGUUCUGAAUGGAAGGGCCAUCGCUCAACGGAUAAAAGGUACUCCGGGGAUAACAGGCUGAUACCGCCCAAGAGUUCAUAUCGACGGCGGUGUUUGGCACCUCGAUGUCGGCUCAUCACAUCCUGGGGCUGAAGUAGGUCCCAAGGGUAUGGCUGUUCGCCAUUUAAAGUGGUACGCGAGCUGGGUUUAGAACGUCGUGAGACAGUUCGGUCCCUAUCUGCCGU
rnacentral:rRNA from 1 species